rnacentral:lncRNA from 1 species
UGGUUUUAUAAGGGGCUCUUCUCCCUUCGUUCAACACUUCUCCUUCCUGCCGCCUUGUGAAGAAGACGCCUUGCUUCCCCUUGGCCUUACACCAUGAUUGGUUACUGCUCCAUUGUCUUCUGGUUUUGAAUAUCGCUGUGAAGAAAUCAGAAGCCAGACUGAUCCUUUUACCUACCUGCCCAACGGAGUCUUUCUUUAUUUUUGUGGUCAGAUAACUUUAUUAGGAUAUGUAGCUGUGUUGAUGAUUCUCGUCAGUUUCCUGGACAUAGUGGGAGACUUUUUUUUUUCACUUAAAUUACAUCUUCUUUAAUGUGA